rnacentral:rRNA from 1 species
UACGAAGGGGGCUAGCGUUGCUCGGAAUCACUGGGCGUAAAGGGUGCGUAGGCGGGUCUUUUAAGUCAGGGGUGAAAUCCUGGAGCUCAACUCCAGAACUGCCUUUGAUACUGAAGAUCUUGAGUUCGGGAGAGGUGAGUGGAACUGCGAGUGUAGAGGUGAAAUUCGUAGAUAUCGGGAGGAACACCAGUGGCGAAGGCGGCUACCUGGCCCACUCUUGACGCUGAGGCGCGAAAGCUAGGGGAGCAAACGGG